GAUCUUCCCAACCCAGGGAUUGAACCCAGGUCUCCCGCAUUGCAGGUGGAGUCUUCACCUGCUGAGUCACCAGGGAAGCCCAUAUAAAGUAGGAAACAGCUGGUUAUUUACAACUAUUUAGCAUUUCUUUUGACCCUAUUGUAUCCUAACUCAGCCUAAAAUCUCUCCAUUCCCACACCAUCUUUGAGUGCACUGGGGACGAGGAUGGUCUUUACUCCAUUAAAACCUAGAAAAUCAAAGAAACAAGACUGUGCUAUCAGGAUGAAUUAAACAGAGUGAAGCCAAAGGGGCACAUCUUCCUACAGCAGCAGGCCCCAGCAGACCCCAGGGCCAAUUAUAAAAUCGGAUCCAGCAGAAGAAAGGCUCUGACAUGAAAAACACUGCAUGAUUCUACGGAAUAUGUGUUCAAAUGGAUUCUAAGGGCGUUAUACCAGAGUAUACAUUGGUUUCAAGUUUUCACUGAAGAGAAGAGCCAGAAAGAAAGGAAUAUUUAUGGAAUUUUAACUCCUGCAACAAUCCUGUGGGGCAGACUUAUCAUCUCCAUUGACUGAUGAGGAAACUGAUAUGUGGGUUUCCAAGAAGUUG
rnacentral:lncRNA from 1 species